rnacentral:lncRNA from 1 species
AUGCCCCAGGGCCCACGCGAGCCGCUGUCAGCUCAGUCGGAUCGCAGGUGCAGGACCGGCCAGACGGAGAUCACGGCAGCCGAGGGCCCAGGGCCAAGCUUUAAGGUAGCCUGCACCCUGGCUGUUGUCCUGCUCUGCCUACACUCACUCCUGCCGCACACCAAGGUGGCUGGGACUGCAGAUGAACCAGCAAGGUCCGCCGUGUCAUAUCCACAGGCUGCUUCUGUAGCACCACCAUCACCAGCCAAGUUAGGUGGCCUUUUGUCAUCUCUAUCACCCUGCAAAGUUUUCUGA